rnacentral:rRNA from 1 species
CACGCCGUAAACGAUGAGUGCUAAGUGUUAGGGGGUUUCCGCCCCUUAGUGCUGCAGCUAACGCAUUAAGCACUCCGCCUGGGGAGUACGGUCGCAAGACUGAAACUCAAAGGAAUUGACGGGGGCCCGCACAAGCGGUGGAGCAUGUGGUUUAAUUCGAAGCAACGCGAAGAACCUUACCAGGUCUUGACAUCCCAUUGACCGCUAUGGAGACAUAGCUUUCCCUUCGGGGACAGUGGUGACAGGUGG